CAGCGAAUGUCUGCUCAGUUCUCAUCUCUCCCCAGCACCCAACACCACCAUGAGGAGCCCCUCCAUCAUCACCUCUGCAAUCACCACAGCUGGUCUGGAGCACACAAGGGACCAGAGGGAUCCUNCACUGAUGAACCUGGGAGCCAUGGUCACGAUGCUCCUGGCUAAAGUUGUGGUCAUAAUCCUAGUCUAUGGAUGGAUGAUCUUCCUGAGGUGGAAGCAAAGGCCAGCACACUAAAGCCUGAACCCCAGCCAGAAUCAGAGCUCAUGGCUGCAGGAUUGUGCUGUGAAACAUCACCAUUCUUGGAUAAAUAUAAGAUAACCCCCACUUCUGCCAUGUGCUGAUACUCUCCUCAGAGGCCAGGUCAUACUGUGUGUCUCUGAUUCUCAGAGCCUGACUGUGCUGUUCUCUGUCCGCUCAUGGAGUUAUUAACACUUUUAAUAAAUGUCUUACUCC